rnacentral:lncRNA from 1 species
GGAGCGGGGUUGAGGGCGCUGCCCACCCUGACUCCACUAGGGUGAAUCGAGUGGCCUUCUCUACAUCUGCGGCCUUGUCAAUAAUCCUGAACAGUGCAGCCAUGGUGCGGGUCUUGGCCUUGGCAAGGUUGGCGAUGCAUCUGAUCCAUUGGACUCCUUGCUGGAAAUCUCGGAGUAUGGCAUACUCGAUCGGAAACUUGCGGGAUUGAGUUCCGCACACUGAUGAAACGGCGGACGAAGUAGCGAAGUGACUCAUCAUCCUCCCGAACGAGUCAAAAGAGGUCAUCCCCUUGACCCAAACGUGUGUAAUCUUCUUGAAAGUUGUUCAGGAACUCACGACGUAGCUGCUCCCGCUAUCGGAUGGAUCCUGGGGGAAGGUUGGUCAGCCAUUGCCGGGCCGACCCUUUCUGAGAGGUCAUCAGGUACUUAGCCCUGUGCUAGAUGGACCUCACACUACUUUUGGAACUCUUAGGGCAAUUAUUGUAUCUUACUUUCCGCUGCACUCUUAUUUGUAUUUGAC